CCGUGAUCUGUGACCGAUUUUCUUUCAUUCCCGUUGGACACCUCAAGGAAGGUCGUGAAAAAUUCAAGACAGAACGACUUUUACAUGCUGAACGCAGUUUUACUUCUUGUCAUCUCCAAAAAGCUGCAGUUUUAUUGCUAUAUUACAUUAAAAUUUUAAAAUUUGUAGCUCAUUACAAUUUCGGAAUCCGCCAUUUUCCCAAGGAAACUUCAUGUUAUUUAUAUUUUGUGUGCUAGUGCCAGACCUAAUAGAGAGCUAUUCCGCACGAUAAUACUGGCAACAUAAAUAAAAUGUCUGAAAGAAAUACAUAUUUCACUCGUGCAUUAGGUUGGAUUUUAGCAAUUGUUGCGAAGAUAAUAUUUUGAAAGUUAUAAUCGUAUUGUGCAAGACAAGGCGCGCUUUUUUUAAAGGUCUGUCUCGAAUUCGUCGUCAAUGUCAUCAUCUAAAAACUCCUCUUCCUCAACAUCAUUGUCGUUAUCAAUAUCUACAUUCGUGCAUGCAGUACACGACCAUACAUUUGUGUACUUCACUCCGGCUUUGUUACAUGAACAACGUUGGGAGUUACAGCCACGUUGCAGCCAGUCUUACAACCACAAUGAACGUUAUCAAGUAGGGAAUUCGGCGCUAGGGGAAUGGUCAUCCAUACGAUUUCAGACUUGCAGUUUCCCGUCACUCGUUUGCCUCCCAUUUUCAUCCGGAGGAGUAAUAUCCAUUUGUAGUUGUAAACAGAAAGGCCAAAGCGCGGCUUGGUACAAAAAUGUUGUGAUGAUUGUUAAUCUUCAGUUAAGGCUUUAUGCUCAAGAUCAUGUUUUACAAUUCAAGAAAGAAUAUUUUUCAGUGAGCCAUUUCAGAAGCCAGAAAGCUGGGGUUUUUUGCUUGGGUUGAAACUUGUUUUAUUGUAAAUUUGAUUAGCGAGGACUUUCAUAGAUAAAAGUUGUCUUUGUCAUACCAUGAAAAGGAGAGUGAAAGAGUUCUGGCACAUUGAUUGAAAAAGUGAUCCUGUAUAUAUAUUUCUCAACAAGAAAUGUAGUUAUGAUUCUGAUCUAUACAUACUAAUUUACUCUGUUGUCCUUUGAUAAAAGUUUAUAAUGUUGAUUUAAAAUAAAGAAUAUCUGAAUUA